AUUGAACGCUGGCGGCAGGCCUAACACAUGCAAGUCGAGCGGAUGAAGGGAGCUUGCUCCUGGAUUCAGCGGCGGACGGGUGAGUAAUGCCUAGGAAUCUGCCUGGUAGUGGGGGAUAACGUCCGGAAACGGGCGCUAAUACCGCAUACGUCCUGAGGGAGAAAGUGGGGGAUCUUCGGACCUCACGCUAUCAGAUGAGCCUAGGUCGGAUUAGCUAGUUGGUGGGGUAAAGGCCUACCAAGGCGACGAUCCGUAACUGGUCUGAGAGGAUGACCAGUCACACUGGAACCGAGACACGGUCCAGACUCCUACGGGAGGCAGCAGUGGGGAAUAUUGGACGAUGCGCGAAAGCCUGAUCCAGCCCUGCUGCGUGUGUGAAGAAGGUCUUCGGAUUGUAAAGCACUUUAAGUUGGGAGGAAGGGCAGUAAGUUAAUACCUUGCUGUUUUGACGUUACCAACAGAAUAAGCACCGGCUAACUUCGUG
rnacentral:rRNA from 1 species